rnacentral:rRNA from 1 species
ACGAACGCUGGCGGCGUGCUUAACACAUGCCAGUCGAACGGAAAGGCCCUGCUUUUGUGGGGUGCUCGAGUGGCGAACGGGUGAGUAACACGUGAGUAACCUGCCCUUGACUUUGGGAUAACUUCAGGAAACUGGGGCUAAUACCGGAUAGGAGCUCCUGCUGCAUGGUGGGGGUUGGAAAGUUUCGGCGGUUGGGGAUGGACUCGCGGCUUAUCAGCUUGUUGGUGGGGUAGUGGCUUACCAAGGCUUUGACGGGUAGCCGGCCUGAGAGGGUGACCGGCCACAUUGGGACUGAGAUACGGCCCAGACUCCUACGGGAGGCAGCAGUGGGGAAUAUUGCACAAUGGGCGGAAGCCUGAUGCAGCAACGCCGCGUGCGGGAUGACGGCCUUCGGGUUGUAAACCGCUUUCGCCUGUGACGAAGCGUGAGUGACGGUAAUGGGUAAAGAAGCACCGGCCAACUACGUG